rnacentral:lncRNA from 10 species
ACCUACCCACAUGCAUAUACGGCUCUGUCUUGUUAGCAUGCACUAGAGAGACUCUUCCGAUAACCUCAAAGAAACAAGCUGCUAUGAUAUAAAUUGCCCAUGCAGAGCAUCACAUAGCAGGAAAACAUGGGUGGUCUCUAAAAGCUGAGGACCUCAGUCCUAUAGCUGCAAGGAGCUGAAUUCUGAAUUCUGCCAACAAUCAUAGGCAGUUAGAAGAGGAACCUGAGUUCAAGAUGAGAAUGCGGGUGGCUGACACCUUGAUUGCAGCCUUGAGCAGAGGAACUAGGUAAUCCAAGAUGGACCAGAAAUUCAGGAUCUUCACGGUUAACGUGGUGGCAGUCAGAAAGAAAUGCAAUAGAACUAAUUUAAGUUCUAGAUCAUGAUAGCCUGUGAUAUGGUUAUGAUCUGCUAUUGUUCGUGAUUUCCUGUACCAUCAUAUGACACAAUGAAGAGAUGACCAUGUGCAAACCACAUAGAGUACCCUUACCAGACACUAGAGCUGGCAGAAAUUUGAUCUUGGACUUCCCAGUCUCCAGAACUGUGAGAAAUAAAUGUUUGUUGUUUAUGAAACUUAGUCUAUGGUAUUCUGUUAUAUAGCAGCUUGAGCUGACUAAUGUGAUAUUAUUAAGUCAAGAAAAACAAUUGGAUAAUUUAUCAAGAUUAUUUUAUGGCAGACAAUUUAUUUCAACAUUACUUAAAAGCAUUGAAACUUUUCUAUGCUGAGAAUUACAGUGCUGCUGGUGAAAGUGGUGCUAGAGCUUGUGUGUGUGUCUGUGUGUGUGUCUAAUCGCAUUCAGGGAGCAUUUGUUUAGUCUGUUUUAAUGCUAUCAGAGCUAACAUUUGUGUAUGUUUGUUUUCUUUAUCUCAGCUCUGGCAAAUCCAUGAAAAACAGAUGAAAGCCAAAUCUUUCAUUAUUUCUAAAUCCCUGAUUAUGACAUAUUUCUCCUACAACGUGUCCCAAAAGAAUGAGAAAAGCAUCUGUAACUACGCACAGGUUAUGUUGUAGUCCCCUCAGUAGCAUUUUGUCCAUAUGGAGCUUAAUUCUGUAAACUACCUAUAACUAGGUAUAAAAUUCAGACAGAAAAUAGCAAUUUAUCACAAGUGUCCAGCUGGCUUCUUCUUCUAAGUGGUUAUUUCCUAAUCUGCAAUCCAGCCAUUCACUGCCCACUCACAUUUUUGAGCUAUAAAAUCAAUAAUAAAUAGCAAGAACAUUCCCUUGAGAGCUUAGCCAUGCAUUCCAACUGGG